rnacentral:rRNA from 1 species
GACGAACGCUGGCGGCGUGCCUAACACAUGCAAGUCGAGCGGGGAGAGAUUUUCGGAUUUCUCUUUAGCGGCGGACGGGUGAGUAACACGUGGGUAACCUGCCUCAAAGAGGGGGAUAGCCUUCCGAAAGGAAGAUUAAUACCGCAUAAUAUCAGGAAGCUGCAUGGCAUUCUGAUUAAAGGAGCAAUCCGCUUUGAGAUGGACCCGCGGCGCAUUAGCUAGUUGGUGGGGUAACGGCCCACCAAGGCGACGAUGCGUAGCCGACCUGAGAGGGUGAUCGGCCACAUUGGAACUGAGACACGGUCCAGACUCCUACGGGAGGCAGCAGUGGGGAAUAUUGCACAAUGGGGGAAACCCUGAUGCAGCAACGCCGCGUGAGUGAUGAGGGCCUUCGGGUCGUAAAGCUCUUUGAUCAGGGACGAUAAUGACGGUACCUGAAAAACAAGCCACGGCUAACUACGUGCCAGCCGCCGCCGUAACAC